UACGUAGGGGGCGAGCGUUGUCCGGAAUCAUUGGGCGUAAAGCGCGUGUAGGCGGCUCGUUAGGUCCGGUGUGAAACCUUGGGGCUCAACCCCAAGCCUGCACUGGAUACUGACGAGCUCGAGUCCGGGAGGGGAGAGCGGAAUUCCUAGUGUAGCGGUGAAAUGCGCAGAUAUUAGGAAGAACACCCGUGGCUAAGGCGGUUCUCUAGUACGGUACUGACGCUGAGACGCGAAAGCGUGGGGAGCGAACAGG
rnacentral:rRNA from 1 species